rnacentral:tRNA from 1 species
GGGAGUUCGCCGAAGUUGGAGAGUCGGAGGCGGCUGUAACCCGUCGCGUUCACGCCAGGGGGUUCGAAUCCCCCAGCUCCCACCA